AAACUCUUUCUUCAUAAAUGAUGUGACAUGUCAUCAAAAUAGCUGAUGUAGCAGGCUAAUUAAUACAUGAAACACCCAUGAAACCUCUACUGUGAAUAGCCUUAAACACCGACGCCGCGCUCACUCGCAGGAGGUGUGGCCGUGGCGGACUGGCGGUGGCCUAGCCGUGGUGGCCGGCCGCCGCGCUGUUCCAGAGGGGACACCCACCGCCCGCACGGCACGUGGUGGCACGCACUUUGCCAAGUGCAGCUGCUGAGGCUGGCCGGGGGCUCCACCACCGCACCCUUCCCUCCGCCGGUUCCGGUUCCGGGCCGGCCGACGCCUGCCCCCACCCACGACGGAAGCUAGGCGCUGAUCUGAUGUGCACGUCCCAACCCAGCCGGCUGGCAGGGACCCUGUAGCCUGUACGCAGCGAAAAAAGGCGAAGGAGUAGACCGAUCAGGCCGUGCGGUGCGGUGCGGUGCAGGCCGGCAUCAGUUACUGCAGCGCACGACGCCUGCCUGCCGGUACCUUGCCGUGCUGCACAUCAGUUCCUUCUUUUGGACGCGUCGCGCCUGUUCGUGCGCCUGCCAGUUGCCAGCUCGUAGUAACCCGCCGGUACAGUGCUGCUGUGGUCGCUGUGCCCCUGCGCGACUCGUCGCUUCAGAUCCAGCGGCGUCGAAGCAAAAGGCAAAACGCCUUCGCUGCCCGGAAGAGCGCGCCGUGGACGAGAACGGGAAGCAAGCGAUGGAGCUGCAGCUGCGCCGGCGAUCCGGCGAGGCCAGCAAUAAUGCAGCGGCGAGCAUUAUUGCCGGGAGAUCGACCAGUGAUUGUUUGUGGACUCGUAGUGGGGGAGCGACUCGGCUCCAUCGCCCCGCCUUUCUUUCUUUUUUAUAAAGCCUGACAACCAAACAUGGCAGGCCGUGCCCGUGCAUGAUCUAUCUAUCCAGCUCCCCCAGCAUCCAUCCCUCUUCUCUAUUUUUUCCCCCCUUCGAGAAUUGAUGCACGCAACAUGCCGUCGGUUCGUGGUCGGCAGGCAGGUACGGCCCAGAAGGGGUACUACGACUACGAGCGCGGCCAUGUUCGCGUUUGCUUGCUCGGCAAUCUCUCCUGUGUCUCGCAGUGUACAACCAGCGUUACGUCAUUCGGUUCGCGUCUGGUCUGUCGUCUUCGCCCGACUCGGUCGCUUGUUCAGGAACAAGUCGUCUGUGGCUCUGGAUGAUGCCUGCGAGCGAGCAGUGGUACUGGGCAGAGAAGCAACUCCGAGUUCCGUGGUGCAGGUGGCAGGUGAACAUGACACGCACGCACGAUCGGACAUGAAAAAUCUGCUGAGGCAGGACUCGAGGCUAAACUUUUCAAUCGAACACCCUUCAGGUACUAGAAGCAAUUACACAUUGCAUUACUAUCACCACCAAUUCACACACCAUCAGCGCACACUCAUCA